GAUGGAGAAGCAGGGCACGUGCACUACUAACUCAUGCACACAGAGAGGGAGACGCAUUUCUUGCUGGAGUUACGAGUUACGACUCUUACCUACUAUUGAUUUUGUUAGCUCCAGUGAGUUAGUUAUUCAUGUGCCUGUCUUCCUCAUC
rnacentral:pre_miRNA from 13 species